rnacentral:rRNA from 1 species
GACGAACGCUGGCGGCGUGCCUAAUACAUGCAAGUCGAACGAACCGCGACUGAGUGCUUGCACUUGGUCAAGGUGAGUGGCGAACGGGUGAGUAACACGUGGGUAACCUACCUCAUAGUGGGGGAUAACAGUCGGAAACGACUGCUAGUACCGCAUAGGACAUGGAAUCACAUGAUUCUGUGAGGAAAGGUGGCGCAAGCUAUCGCUAAGAGAUGGACCCGCGGUGCAUUAGCUAGUUGGUAGGGUAAGGGCCUACCAAGGCGAUGAUGCAUAGCCGACCUGAGAGGGUGAUCGGCCACAUUGGGACUGAGACACGGCCCAAACUCCUACGGGAGGCAGCAGUAGGGAAUCUUCCGCAAUGGACGCAAGUCUGACGGAGCAACGCCGCGUGAGUGAAGAAGGUCUUCGGAUCGUAAAGCUCUGUUGUUAGAGAAGAACAGCGCAUAGAGUAACUGUUAUGCGUGUGACGGUAUCUAACCAGAAAGCCACGGCUAACUACGUG